CUGAGCCGUAGAUCUGAGCCGUUCGUCCACUUCGUUUCUGCCAUGAUUCGAUUUGGUGUAAAAGACUAUUGAUAGGAUGACAAUAGGAGGACAAGAGAUGCCGUAUUACCUCCCCGGCCUCUCUUCUUCGGCAAGGAUCUGCAGGUUCUCUCUGUCCAAUAAGCAGCCUCUGAUAUUGUAGCUUAGAUUCUAUAAGAUGAGUUGGUUGUAAAUCUUGAUCAGUAUAUGGAUUUCUGUAUCUCAUGCUGCUUGGUUCAUGAUCCCUUCCCAACAGGAAAUGAGAGCCAAAAGAAUCCAGGGAGGAAUAGUCUAUUAUUGGUAUUAAUCCUUGCUGUGUGGUGUGAAUUCACUGAAAGGAUUCUCCAAAAGGAGAAUUAGCGACAGAAUUAGGCGGACAAUGAGUAUCCAUUUAUGGGUACAUCUGCGAGCAUAUACUUGAUAUCAGUACUUACCAUGCAGAUCUAUCGGGAUGGUGGAACUGGAUGCAACCUUCUGCGCUAUGUUGAUCAGAACUCAAGAAACUAAGAUACCACAAUGCAAAGUACGAUAGGGAAGUGCUCGACAUCAUGUGUGUUAGCCGAGUGUCCGUCGACAUGGCGGGAGGGGUCGGUGUCGUGUCCAUUGACCAAGUAGCAAAGAGUAGCUCCACCAUGAAGGAAACAAUGUUAAGGGUCCUCAACAAUCGUAAUGCCUCCACAUCUCUUUCAUUGAGUGAAUACAACAGUCUCCGUGUCUUGGACUAUUGCAUCAGGUAUACUCUUAUUUUGUUAUGGUUUGGGUUUAUCUUUCUAUUGAAAAUAAGCUAGAUGAGAUGCUUUUCAUCUUACAAAAAGUUUCCAUUUGCGUGUGUCCAUGUUUGUGUGCACAUUUCAGUGUGUGUAUGCAAUCCAAGAAUACCCCGUCUGUCACAUCUGAUUUUGCAUUUCUUGAUCUAUCAAGGGAAUAAAAAAGACAAGAUCUGUUAAUGUGGAGAAGAAAAAAUGAUCGAGAAAGGUUAAGUUAUCCUUUAUGCAUAUCAUUUAAUAAAAUCCCUAUAUUGUUCUAUGAAAUUGAUCUAUAAAUGAUGCAUUUGUGCCAUCUAAUUUAAAGUUCUUAGCUUUUUUUUUGCGGAAUUUAAAGUUCUUAGUUGCAUGGAGGUGAUAACACUUCUGAGAUAUUUGCGCUGGUUAUCAAAGUAAAGUUCACCUAUCUCAUAUUCUUGCUAAUGGGUUACUAUUCGAGCACUAAGCCACUAACUAUAGCCAUUUCGGAGAUACCUCCAUAUGUUUACCCUAUUUCUAUCUUGCAUUAUUCAGCAGAUGUAAUAUAUUGGCAAUCACUAAAGAUAUGUACCAAUUUAAAAGCAGGUACACACUUAGGGACUCUGUUUCUAUAAGCAAUUGAAGAAAUGACUACAUGUUUUUUCGCAGAAGAAUUAAAAUCUGUUAUAGUUUCCUUGCUGGUGCUUACGAAAUGUAGAAUUUCAUGUACCUCCAAUAGUGCAUAAGUUGACGAAAUGAGCAUACCUGCAAUAUCAGAGAAGAACUUAACAAAACAGCUUCUCGAACUAUGGUUAUUCUGCAUCCUUUAAAGGUUUGGCAUUAUGUUCCUGCUGCAAACCACUCUAUGCCUUCACUCUUUAGAAGUUCCCAAAAAACUAGGCUUUAGAAGUUCCCAACAAACUUCCCCGAAUAAAAAAAGUUCCUAACAAACUAAUAGACUUCAACCUACUCAACAUGCUUAUCUCUUCUCUACUAUGAACUAAACGCAUGUUGUCAUCAGAUGCUGAAAUAGCAGUUUUUUAAUCAGCCAUUACACUGUAAGCUAUUUUACAAGGUACUAAUGAUAUCAGGCAAUACUAACUUAACAGUGUGAUUAGACAUUUUGUGUUGGUUUCUGGAAAAUUCUAGAUAAUAUUACCGAGCAUUGCUAUCCCCAAGGUGGAAUAAUUUGGAUCGCUGUGGUAGAAUUAUUUGGUUUCUCUAGGAUAUACAUUGGUUGAAUGUACUGUAUUUUCAUACAUGUACCGUAUUGUCAUGGAUAUUUUGUGACUCCAAUAUGUACAUUCCUAAGCUGCGGAUAAAAUGGAAGGCCAAAAUAUGAAGUAAAGUUUAGGUAGCCUGUAACUCUGCAUAUCAUACUGGAUUCAAUGUGUACUAUCUAGACUACAGAAAUAUUAGUAUGGCAUUCCAGCGUGUACGAUAAAGAAUAAUAAGUUUUGUAAUUUAAACUACCUAAAUGUCUCAUGUGCUUCCUACUAUUUUCUUCCUACCUUCUCCUUAAGCCACACCAUAAUGUGUGCUCCACUCUCAGCAUUUUUUCUAGAAAGAUUUUCCCUGAGAUUGCCUUGUAAUCAUUGGAAGAAAAAUUAGCCAUCGGAUGAUGCUUAUUGACAGCUAAAGCUGUUGAUAUUCCGCCUUCCCCACUUCUUACAUUGCUAUGUUACUUUUCAGUCGUUUUGCCUAAAAAAAAGAGAACCAACAUACAUGAGCUUAUUCUAAGUUCUGUAUACCAGAAUGCCUGUAGAUGGGAGAUAGCUUUUGUGUCUUCUCUGUGUAAAGUUUAUUUGGCCACUUUCAGCGAAAACUAGAUCGUUUUCCCUGUGCCAUAAAACUAAAUCUAAUUCUUGGUCAAACAAUUACCAAAAUAAUUGCGACAAGGGUAGUGCUGGAUAUAUAUUUGACUGAGGUCCUUUGAAAUAUUGGUGUGAAUAUUUAUUUUGGACUUAGAUUUACCUUUUCAAUUUUUUCGGGCUAUAGAUGAAGCGAGUCAUUACAUUUGUAUCGAGUAAAUUCGCCAUUGUAUAUGUAUAUAUGUUGGUUGCUUCUAUGUAUGCAUUUUGUAGGCGUGAUACAGUGUUCUUGACAAGUACCUGGGAUAAACGACAUUAGUUGUUUGCUUCAAUUGCUUCCAGAAUUUGCACUACAGUAAGCACAAGUGAUAUUUCUCUUCAUUUUCCCAUUUCUUCAUGUCUUUGCAACAUCAUUGGAUAUUCUAUAUUAGUGGAUACUUCCUCCAUGUUAAUUCAUAAAUAAUAGCAGCCUAAUUUUAUUGUAUAUGUUUAAAACGAUGAUGCUUGCAGAUUCUUAUCUUUUCAUGGACUAUGCACGAAAGAAUUUUAUAUUACAUUGUGGAUUGAGAUAUCAUUGAUUGUUAAUGAUGCAGACCACACCUUUGUUUAUCUGUGUUAGACUCCAGUUGUUUCCAGUAUGUGGUGUUCAUAAUAUCAUUUUAUUUUUUUAGGCAUUGUUUUUUAAGAUAUGGGAUGCAUUCCUACUUACUCAUCUAAUCUCAAACCAGCUUGAUCCUCCCUUUGUUUGCUUGUUGCUCGGGUACACUUGGUUGUCCUGAUGGUGAAUCCAUGUCGAUUUUUGACUUGCAGCAGCAUCUGAUCUGGUAUGCACUUUCAGCCAGCUCAUCAUUCCUUCCUUGCUACUGCCUGCAGUUUAUGGAGAGAUGCAGGUCUGAGCUCUUCCGCCUCCGUCGUGCACGGCUGUCAGUGUACGAAUACCUAUUGCCCAGGGUUUCAUUUUUAGAGAUCUUGGUCCAUGAGAAAACAGAGUAUGGUGGAAGUCAGUUAAAUGAGGUUAGCUUUUUUAUUACUUUUGUUCUUGAUUAUGCAGUAGUCACACCACUGCUUAGAUGUUUUAGUAGUUCUGACCUGAUGUUGUGCACCCUCCACUUCAAAUUCCAAUUCAAUAGAUUGGGUGCACUACUUAUCAUUCCUUCAAUCUGCUCUGAACUUCCUGUAUGGAGCAUGACAUUAUGUGAGAUGUGCUGCUGACACCCUAUAUACAAAUUUAGUUCAGUGACUAUUAUCCCACAUGUAUUUGAUUGGCGUUGUUUGUUCUAUUUUGACUAUUAGUAGAGCACUAUGAUUGUGUUUUUUGAUUCUCCAUAACAAACUGUAAGAACUGUAAUAUAUAAUUGUUCUCAUGACCACUAAACAGAGAGGCUUUGUCUGAGCAUCUUCUCGAUGUCCUGGUAGAGAAGAUAUGGAAAGUCUGCAUUACAAUGUUUCUUACUACAAAAACUUAUAAAGCUUCCUUGCUUGGGUUAGCCAUUUUAAAUGGUGCUGAACAAAUAACUAUCAACGAAUCGUGUUUCGAAUUUUAGAGGCUUUGGAUGCAAUAGUUAGAUAUAAUAGUUUCAUUCAAAUUUCAGCAUCGUCUUCCUUGCUUGGGUUAGCCAUUUUUAACAGUGGUGAAGAAAUAACUAUCAACCAACUACAUGCAUUACAAUGUCUCUCUUCACAUUAGUUGUGUAGAAAACAUAUUAAUGUUUGUGCAUGAUGCAUCCUUGGAGAAGAUAGUAGCCGUUAUUUCAAAUGUAUGUGUAAUUAGUGACAGUAAGUAGUAUAACUUCAAUUCUUAAUUGAAUGGCCACUAUUUUCUUAGUCGAUGCCAUGUAACUUCAUUGUUCAAUACAGAUGGUAUGGCAUGCCAUGAACUGCCCAAUUUCCAGUAGUUGAAUAGUUUAAAUAUUUUUGUUAACUAUAAAAUUAUUGGCAUUCACACUCAGAUAAAUGUCCACAGGUUGUCUGUAAGGAGAUCAUUCUAUUUGUAUGUUUGUAAUUAGAUCUAAUAAGUGAAGAUGUAAUUGAAUAAUUUAUAAGAACAUAACAGAUUCAGCUUUCAAAAGUUCCCAUAUGAUAAGACUGACAACUGAAAAACGAAAAUAGUGUCAGCGAGAUGAACCCGGUACGCCACAAGUACAUUGCAACGCCAAGCGGUGUUAACUGUUGGUGAUACAAGCUCUAAUUAGAUUUACAUUUUCUUUGUUCCGUGAUUUCUAAAGACCAUGCUGUGACAAUACAUUGCCUUUGUUCCUUGCUUUUGUUUCUCGCAGUAGAAUCAACAAAUUUUAGUUGCUACAAUGUAUUUUCCUCCCGUUCCAUGGUUGUAUAUAAAUGUUUGUUUCUCUGUUUGUAAUUUAGCGUGGUUUCUUACAUUGUAAAAUGUAAGAAGAUUUAUUAUCAUUUUCCAAUGGAACGAGUCUCACGGGAUCGUGCGCCAAGGCGC